rnacentral:rRNA from 1 species
GAUGAACGCUAGCGGCAGGCUUAAUACAUGCAAGUCGAGGGGCAGCGGGAGUAGCAAUACUUGCCGGCGACCGGCGCACGGGUGCGUAACACGUAUGUAAUCUGCCCAUCACAGGAGGAUAGCCCGGAGAAAUUCGGAUUAAUACUCCAUAAUAGAAGAUAAAGCAUUUUAUUUUCUUGAAAGUUCCGACGGUGAUGGAUGAACAUGCGACUGAUUAGUUUGUUGGUGAGGUAACGGCUCACCAAGACUACGAUCAGUAGGGGUACUGAGAGGUUAAACCCCCACACUGGUACUGAGACACGGACCAGACUCCUACGGGAGGCAGCAGUAAGGAAUAUUGGGCAAUGGACGAAAGUCUGACCCAGCCACGCCGCGUGAAGGAUGACUGCCCUAUGGGUUGUAAACUUCUUUUGUAUGGGAAGAAAUUCCGAACGUGUUCGGAGCUGACGGUACCAUAAGAAUAAGCAUCGGCUGACUCCGUGCCAGCAGCCGCGGU